rnacentral:tRNA from 1 species
GAAAAAUAAACGAUUACGGAUUGAGGGUUCACGCCUGGAAAGCGUGUAACCGGCAAAACCGGUUCGGGGGUUCGAAUCCCCCUCUUUCCG